AAUCUUAAUUUUUAAAAUUUAAACUGCAAAUUUAAAUGUGAAUUAUAUUUCUAAGAUUU
rnacentral:tRNA from 1 species